rnacentral:rRNA from 1 species
GAUGAACGCUAGCGGCAGGCCUAAUACAUGCAAGUCGAACGGCAGCAGGCUGUAGCAAUACAGUGCUGGCGAGUGGCGCACGGGUGCAUAACACGUAUGUAAUUUGCCCAUAACUGGGGGAUAGCCUUCCGAAAGGAAGAUUAAUACCCCAUAACCCAGCGAGGUGGCAUCACUUUUCUGGUAAAACUCCGGUGGUUAUGGAUAAGCAUGCGUCNGAUUAGCUAGUUGGCGAGGUAACGGCUCACCAAGGCAACGAUCAGGUAGGGGGUCUGAGAGGAUGACUCCCCCACACGGGUACUGAGACACGGACCCGACUCCUACGGGAGCAGCAGUAAGGAAUAUUGGACAAUGGAGGCAACUCUGAUCCA